UGCACUGACCUGUCCUCCUCCAAAGAGCGGCUAAAAGCGUGAGAUGUGACAUCCUUGGUAAAGUUCUUGCCAACUGCUGACAACUCACCUGGGGUGGCAGUCACCUGGCCUUUGCCCAGCGGGCUUACUUUAGACCAUUGCUGGCAAGUAAAGCAUUGUGGAGCUGCCUCCUGAAAUUUCACUUGCCUGUCUUAAUGUUGAAAAAGUUUCAAGUAGUUUCGCUUUAGAGUCACUAAGAAACCUAGUUAUAGUCUGAAAGUGAAAUGAGAUUUAGGUUUACAUGACCCUUAGAGAAUGAGGACAGGUAUACUGUUAGGUGAGACAGGAUUAAGUCUGUGGUAUUGAGCUGUUCAGGGUGUUUGCUGUAUUAUCUCAAACUACCUGUAGUGUAUUUGUAGGUAUGGGUGAGAGUAACUGUGCUUGGAAUAGAAAAGCCCUGCUGCAUCGAGACACAAUGCUGGCAGCUGCGGCAGUGUACAGAGAAAUGUACAGAAAUGAAGAUGGUUCAGUACCUGCUACAUACCAGAUCUAUUACAUGAUAGGAUGGAAAUAUCAUGAGUCACAGGCAAGACCAGCUGAAAGAGGUUCCGCAACUGUGUCAUUUGGAGAGCUAGGAAAAAUAAACAACCUUAUGCCACCGGGGAAAAAAUCACAAUAAAUAUUUAUUCAGUGUUAA
rnacentral:sRNA from 1 species